GAUGAACGCUAGCUACAGGCUUAACACAUGCAAGUCGAGGGACCGGCGCACGGGAGAGUAACCCGUAUCCAACCUGCCCUUGACUCGGGGAGAGCCUUUCGCAAGAAAUAAUAAUACCUGAUAUAAAGGAGGGGGAUGCGUUCCAGUAGGUGGUUGGUGAGGUAACGGCCCACCAAGCCUUCGAUGGAUAGGGGUUCGGAGAGGAAGGUCCCCCCCAUUGGAACUGAGACACAGUCCAAUCUCCUAUGGGCGGCAGGAGUGAGGUAUAUUGGUCAAUCGGCGGUGUCCUGUACCAGCCAAGUGUCGUGAAGGAUGAAGGCUUAUGGGUCGUAAACUUCUUUUAGGUAAGAAUAUGUAUUAUAUGAAUAAGGAUCGGCUAACUCCGUGCCAGCAGCCGCGGUAAUAC
rnacentral:rRNA from 1 species